rnacentral:lncRNA from 1 species
UCUUCUUCUUCUAUAUACUCGAGAGAGGGAACGAGAGGGAGAUCGAGAGAGCGAGUAAGAGCAAGAGGAAAAUCGCAGAGAGAUCGUGAUUGAGGAGAUUAUUUUGGAGCACGAUCCAUGAGGUAGGUAAAAUAUAUAAACUAGAUUUGGAUUGUGAUUUUUGUAACUACGGUUUUUUCAUAGAUGAUUUUAGCAUCUUAUAUUUUAGGAGGUGAUUUUUGACUAAGAUUU